AGUGAACGCUGGCGGUAGGCCUAACACAUGCAAGUCGAACGGCAGCACAGUAAGAGCUUGCUCUUACGGGUGGCGAGUGGCGGACGGGUGAGGAAUACAUCGGAAUCUACUUUUUCGUGGGGGAUAACGUAGGGAAACUUACGCUAAUACCGCAUACGACCUACGGGUGAAAGCAGGGGAUCUUCGGACCUUGCGCGAUUGAAUGAGCCGAUGUCGGAUUAGCUAGUUGGCGGGGUAAAGGCCCACCAAGGCGACGAUCCGUAGCUGGUCUGAGAGGAUGAACAGCCAAACUGGAAAUGAGACAAGGGCCAGAAUCCUAAGGGAGGGAGCAGUGGGGAAUAUUGGAAAAUGGGCGCAAGCCUGAUCCAGCCAUACCGCGUGGGUGAAGAAGGGCUUCGGGUUUUAAAGCCCUUUUGUUGGGAAAGAAAAGCAGCAGGUUAAUACCCCGCUGUUCUGACGGUACCCAAAGAAUAAGCACCGGCUAACUUCGUG
rnacentral:rRNA from 1 species